rnacentral:rRNA from 1 species
GAUGAACGCUGGCGGCGUGCCUAAUACAUGCAAGUCGAGCGAACGGACGAGAAGCUUGCUUCUCUGAUGUUAGCGGCGGACGGGUGAGUAACACGUGGAUAACCUACCUAUAAGACUGGGAUAACUUCGGGAAACCGUAGCUAAUACCGGAUAAUAUUUUGAACCGCAUGGUUCAAAAGUGAAAGACGGUCUUGCUGUCACUUAUAGAUGGAUCCGCGCUGCAUUAGCUAGUUGGUAAGGUAACGGCUUACCAAGGCAACGAUGCAUAGCCGACCUGAGAGGGUGAUCGCCCACACUGGAAGUGAGACACGCCCCAGCCCCCUACGGGAGGCAGCAGGAGGGAUUCUUCCGCAGGGGGCGAAGGCCGAACGGGCCAACCCCGCGUGAGUGAUGAGGGUUUUGGGAUCGUAAACCUUUGUUAUUAGGAAAAAACAUAUGUGAAAUAAACUGUGCACUUCUUGCCGUCACCAAAUAAAAACCCCAGGCCUAACUACGUC